ACUAAUUAAAUAUAACUAAUUAAAAGUAAAACCGAGGGGCAUUUCUGCCCAGCCAGGCCCACCUGUCCAUUGAAAGGAUGCCAUCUUUGGAGAGUAGAAAGCAGAAGCAGCAGGUUGAGGAAACUGCUUGGUGCAGGGGUGAGGUGGAGAAAGGUAGAGAUUAGAGAGGGAGAAGCAGGGGGAGACCAGGAGAGCAGCUUGGAAAUGGAGCAGAAAAUUCAGAUGGCAAAAGGAGGCCCCUCACCCAGAGACCCGAGAGCCUAGAAAACAAGCUGUCAGCCUGCAGAGGCCCUGGGCCACUGCUCAGAAGGGUCCUCUGCCUGUGGCCCUCGGGAGCCUGGAGAGCCCCCAUCCACUCACAUGCCCCCCGCCUCGCGCCCAGAGCAAUAGUGGGACAUAUGGGGCCAGACAGGGAGAGGCAAUCAACUAAAAGGACACUCUUGCUACCGACUAAGCUCCAUGAUAUACGGCUGUGGGUUUGCAAAACAGCAGCGGCCACGGCAAGGUGCAGAGGGUCAGGAGCAGCGAGCACCUGCGCGAGGGAAAAUAAAGACGCGCACGUGUUUGUAAAUGCCCGCGGUUUCUGGAACUGCCCGCAGGAAACCGAUAACUUGUUUGCCUCUGGGGAGGGGAACUGACAGGCGGAGGCGGAGGUCCGGUGUGGCGAGGAGGCCACGUGUCUUUCUUUAGACUCUUCAGUACCUUUCGAACAGCAGGCCUGAUCUAUCCGUCACCUAUUCAGUAAGCAUAGAAUUAACAAAUAAAGAGACGCUUCUGGUACGUAUACUCCACAAAAAGUCGAAAACGCACCCCAAACACACCCUUCUGCUUUGAGGCUGCGAUCUCAGCGCAAACGGCACCUGCCAGGUGCGUGGGGUGCAUGCUACCAGCCUCACACCAGCUAUGGCUCCCGGGGGCUGCCAGGGACACUUCUUUCUCCCUGCUGUGGGCAUCGCUUCCCCCGUGGUCCAGGACCUCCAAGGAGGAGCUCCCACGCUCCCAGCCCUCAGCAAACCUGGGCUGUAUUCCAGCCACGGAAAUGACCGGAAAUGAGCUCCCCGGGACUGAGUCCGGGCUUCGGGGUCCCAUGUCCAACCAACGUGGCGCCCACAGCCACUGCCCAGGGAUCCCCUGCCAGCCUCUCAAUCUAGGGAAGAAACCAGAAGCAAGUGCCACGGCUGCAGUCUGAUAAUCACUAUGGACACCAGAAACCAGCCUGUAUCGGGUCUGCGUCCAAUUAGCCACCCCCACAACAAUACCAUAGCAACCAAGGUAAUAUUAUUGUUCGAAAAAGAAGAAAAAGAAGAAGAAGAAAAGAAGAAGAAGAAGAAAGCACACACACACACACA